rnacentral:tRNA from 1 species
GGGCUCUUCCGUUUCGGGUCACGGCUGCCCUUACAAGGCAGAUGUCGGCGGUUCGAAACCGUCCGCGCCCACCA